GAAACCGCCGGGCGCCCGCCGGGCGCGGAGCCCGGGGGUCGCGGCGCCAGGCAGGACUUCUCGGCGGGCCGGAGCUGUGGCCUGCGGUGCGGUCUCCGUGGUUCAGUCGGUGCCCCUCCUCCGGUGCGAGUUCCGCACCCCCCUGCGGGUGGAGCACCCCCCUCCCCCCGGGGGGUCCACGUGGGGUCCUCCGGCCUGGUCACCUAGAGGUUCCCCAAGCCCCUGUCAACCUGGCUUCCUUCCCAGUAAUCUCUACCCCCAGCGUGGAGCUCGAACUCAGGAGGGGCUGCAACCCGAGGGUCAGGAAAACAAGGAGGCGGGGUGCACAGACUGGUAUUUUGGAAAAUGUAUCAGACAACUCACAUCACAUCAGAACAAACAGGCUGCAGCUCACCUAAUUUAUAACUAAAAUCCCAAAAUGGCAUCAAGGGAGAGCCGUGGACACUGAUGACACUUCCCUGGACUCCGGUAUUCUAACAGCCCGUGUCGGCACGAGCCUUUGUAACGCACGCUUCGCAGAACAUGGAACGGCAAUCUUCAGAAAAUUCUUAAUCACGUACCAAUCUUGGUUUAUAAAUACCAAAAUCUCUACCCCGAAUGUGGGACGUGAACUCACGACCCUGCGAUCGAGUCGCGUGCUCUUCCGACCGAGCCAGCCAGGCGCUCCUAUGAAUACCAAAUUUUAAUAAACUUUAAUUCCUCACUUAGGUUGCUAGUAAGAGUGGUAAAGGGCAGAUAUUCUUAGGUUACACACCAUCGUUCCAGGAUGGAGGCGCACGCCCUGCUCCCAGCUCCGGCAGACUAACGAGCGGCCAGUGGAGGGAGGAGGCAGCUGAUCCCAACAUUAAGAGGCUCAUGAAAACACAGCAUCUCCAUCCUGCCUCCUCAAGAAAAAGCCGUUUCCUCCUGUAAUUCACAGCUAAUAGCACACCACCAAUUCAGUCCCAGACGCUGACGUGAACAUGAACUACCUGCAUGCAGAGAUCGUGGAACGGAGAUUAUGUGCAGUUCAACUGUGGAAGGACCAGCUCCUUCAUUACAUCUGUAUGUAACGUGUAGGUGCAGCAGAGUGCUUUAGGACACACAAAUUAGGGGGAACCAGGACCAGGAGGUGAUUGUAGAAAUUACAUUUUCAGCGUGAUAUAAGUCUAUUUAACCAUCCAAAGGCAGCCUAGGGGGACCCGGCACAGUAGACCUUCCCCAUCUCAUGAAUGUUCAGGGAAAGGUUGCCCGGCUGGCUAUUAUCUGUACCAGGGAUCCUGCUUUGGGUAAGGGAACAGUCUUGUCACUGUAAAAUGUGAUUCUACGGACCUGAGAACCUGUUGGGACAAGCCUUGCAUGGAGUUUGACUUCCCUCACGGUUCCCACGAGGCUACCCCUCCCCAGGAUGAAGGGCCCACGAUCACCCUGGUUUCCACUCCCAUUGGCCCCAGACUGGCAAGAGGGACGGGGAUGACCACGGCUCUUUCUGGCAGUCAUAGCGGGAAUGACUAAUCUCUCA